GUUGAGAUGGCCGAGUUGGUCUAAGGCGCCAGAUUAAGGUUCUGGUCGGCGUUCAAAUCCCAUUCUCAAUA
rnacentral:ncRNA from 15 species